rnacentral:rRNA from 1 species
CCUACGGGUGGCAGCAGUGAGGAAUAUUGGUCAAUGGGCUCGAGCCUGAACCAGCCAAGUAGCGUGAAGGAUGACUGCCCUACGGGUUGUAAACUUCUUUUAUAAAGGAAUAAAGUGAGGCACGUGUGCCUUUUUGUAUGUACUUUAUGAAUAAGGAUCGGCUAACUCCGUGCCAGCAGCCGCGGUAAUACGGAGGAUCCGAGCGUUAUCCGGAUUUCUUGGGUUUAAAGGGAGGGUAGAUGGGUAGUUAAGUUAGUUGGGAAAGUUUGCGGCUCAACCGUAAAAUUGCAAUUGAUACUGGCAGCCUGGAGUGCAGUUGAGGUAGGCGGAAUUCGUGGUGUAGCGAUGAAAUGCUUAGAUAUCACGAAGAACUCCGAUUGCGAAGGCAGCCUAC